UCUCUCUUUUUCUCUCUCACUCACACACACACACACACACACACACACACAUUUGCAGACCAGCAAAAGGGGCACGUUUAUGCACACCAAGAAUUAGCAUGCAUCGGACACAACUCCCCAUCCUCUCAGCCUUAUGUCCAAGCGCAGUGUUAUUUUUCUACAUAGGUACAAUAAAGAAACGUAAAAAUACAUUAAAACACAGCGUAAAGCUCUGACGUUUCUCCGCCGAUCAAGUUACUUUCUGAGAAUACCUGUAAUUGCCCAGAAGUGUGAGCCACUCUUCACUGAAUUAACACAACGCCUGCCUUAAUUCCGCAAAUACAAUCGAAUGAUGUAUCACUUGGGUUUAAAUCCAUCAUCGGUGUAUUAGAAUCACACUAAAAGAUGAUUUGUAACCAAUAGACGCAGCACAUAUACAUAAAAGACAAUGCAAUAAAACUGUUAAGUGCAUCUUCAAUCCCCGUGUAGUGUAAGACAGGCAGAACUCUUGCACGAAUCGGACAUUUAAGGUUUCGACUUACCUUUAAGGGCAGGAAAGUAUCCAUUAUGUGCCGCCGCGAGCUUUAAACGGUACACUCUUUUUUUUCCUGCUUCGAGUCUAAAGCCGCUCCCUUCCCAUUCAUGCACUAAUUCCAGAAGAGGAACUGCAAAAGCAACUGCCCGACCAGCCGCAUAUCGCUUCUUCUCUCGCUCCUGACAAUUUUUCCCCCCACCAGCAGAUGCUCUGGAAAAACCUGCGCUUUUGCCGGGAGCCAAGCUGCGACACAGAGCUUCACAGCAUUUUUUGUAGUUUUUCCCUUUAAGUAAAAAUAACUAGCUCGCUGCUGUGUGGGCUCGUCUGCAUAUUUCCAUGUGAGAGUGCAGCUACAUGGCAUAGGCGUUUGUCUAUUUUUUCCCCCCGCGGUGCAGUAAUUACUAGUGUUCACGUCCUUGGAAUCGGUUGCUUCUCUUUUGUUCCUAAACACUUAUCCAAGCAGAAAGAAUGUCUCCUUUUAAAACGAAGUAAAGGCCGUAAGUCCAGAAGAAAACUUUCUUGUUUGUUUUCAGUGAUUCGGAAGUUAUUAGUUAGUCCAAGAGUGAGCAGAUGGCGAGACGCGAAAUCUGCGCCAGAAAGACUGCAAUGGAGCGGCGGAUAACCCUAGAUGGCACAAACACCAUGAAGUAUCACGGAGCCCAAUGGACAGGCGGUGGAUGGGGGAGAGGGGGGCAGAGACAGGCAGGUCACCCAGACGUGCAGUGCAUGGCAGUCAAUCAGCUGUUAACGCUGGAUGAGAAGUCUCCACCUGUAUUUACUCUAGAAGACUCUAUAGCACUGAAAGGAGUCCAAUACAGUCCACCUCCUCCCCAUCUCCAUCUGACAGACACCUCAGUCAGAGCUCCAUCCAAGCCUCAGUCUUCAUCUUCUAGACUCUGGGGUGGUCCUGUCCUAAAUCCUAUCACUGCUGGGAUUCCAUUCUGCAAUGAUGGGUCAUCAGAGUCCAAUCACCACAUAUAUUAAUUUCUCAAUCUCAGUAAAUCCUGUUCAGUUCUUUAAAGUGAUCUCUCCUUAUUGAAAUAGCAUAAUUACCAUUGAACUAUGCACUUUGUCAAGUAUAUUGCCAUAGCGUCUGUUUAGGUUCACUUCCUAAAAUCGCUCUCUGGGUAGUCACAUCCCUGUCAUGGUCCGGAGUCUGCGACUCCGUGUUUAUGUUUAGUCUAUUAGUAUUCUGUGGUUUUGGUUACCUUGGGUGUUUGUAUUCUUCUGUUCAUGUUCCUAUGUUCUGUGUCCCCCAGUCUGUGUUUAGUUGGUGUGUUAUGUCAUUGCGUGUAUGUGUUUCCUGUUUUAUUGUGAAGGUCUGCGUCUUAUGUGAGUGUUUUCAGUUUGCCUCCCUAGUCUCGUCACGAUAAUCACUCCCAGCUGUGUUCCCCACCUGCGUGUAAUCUCCCUGUGUUCUCUGGGUGUAUUUAAGUUGUGUCUUCUGUCAUGGUAGUUGCUGGUUCGUCUGUGUUGUUUCCCCUCGGUCUCCCUGCGUCUUCCUGUAUGUAUUUCUCCGGACCUCCCUGCAUCCUCGUUUCUGGUUUGUCUUAUUAGUUUACCCAGUUUAGGUUUCCAGUUUCAUGUUUUGUCGCCACCGUUGUUUGUACUUACCCACCUCUGUGAAUAAACACUCACCUGCACCAGAGCUGCCGCCUUUUGGUCCCUUUCUACAAUUCCACACGGCUUGCCCCGGCAAUCCGUGACAAUCCCACAUUAAAAUGUGAAGCCUAGAGCUUCUUAUAA
ensembl:lncRNA